ACCAGUGAGGAACUUGGAACCUGUCUGACCCCGCGCUUUCCUUUGACUCCACCCCUCUCAAGGGCUCACUUCUCCCUUAACCCCGCCCCUCUACUGGUCUCGCCUCCAAUCCGGACUCGCUAGCAAAGUCAGGCCCCUUUAGCUCAGACUCCAGUAGCCCCAAGCCACUCUGGAGCUGCUGAGAACAGAGAUGCUACGGUGCCCACCUCGUCCAGUCGUCUGUCUGUGCCUAAGGAAAUGAGGUUGCUGAAUUCCUUCUCCAGGAGUUGCCGGGCCUGGAAAGGGGAGCUGUUCCUGAAGCAUAAUGGCCAACGUCUGCACAUCAGCCUGCCCACUGGGGGACAGCAGCUCAGCUCCAAACAUCCCUUCUGCCUCCUCCUCAUCUGACCCAUCCAGCUCGCCAGGGAACGGAGGUGGUAUGGAACCUGCAGGGGCCGACCGCUCCCAAUCCUGCCUCUGUUGCUCUCCAAGCCAUCACAUACCCAGGACUCCACCCCUUUCCCUCCCCAUUUUCUUGAGGCCUCCCACUCUCAUAUGCACCUGGCCCCACCAGGUGGGGGGGAUUCUACAUGCUUCUCCUCAUCCCAUUGUUACUCUCAAGUUCUCACCAAGUAGCAGGAUAUUUGCAUGAAGAGACAUCCAGGCAAGAGGGAUGAUGGAAUUGUGGGGAAGGACAGAAGACAGGGUGAGUACAGGAGACUCUGCUUCUCAACCCAGCCUCCUCCCAGGGCCCCUUGUAUUUGGCUCUA